GUGUCAGCAGCCGCGGUAAUACGUAGGGGGCAAGCGUUGUCCGGAUUUAUUGGGCGUAAAGCGCUCGCAGGUGGUUCAUUGCGUCGUGCGUGAAAGACCCCGGCUCAACUGGGGAGGGUCGUGCGAAACGGGUGAACUAGAGGCCAGUAGGGGGAUGCGGAAUUCCGGGUGUAGUGGUGGAAUGCGUAGAGAUCCGGAGGAACACCAGCGGCGAAGGCGGCAUCCUGGACUGGUCCUGACACUCAGGAGCGAAAGCGUGGGGAGCGAUCCGGAUUAGAUACCCUAGUAGUCC
rnacentral:rRNA from 1 species